AUUCAGUUUUAUUUUUCAAGUAUGAGCAAUUUGGAACACAAUUAUGGCUCUAAUGGAAUUUCUUUAAAACUACGUCCAAAAGUAACAAAGCUACUCUUCACUCCUUCUCACUAUCUCAAACAUGGAAGGUUCUAAUGUAUUCUUUUUUAAUUUACUUGCAUAAGCACGUAGAUGCAAAAGCUGCUCAUGUAGAGCACUAAGCUGACAAGCUUUCCCUCUUUACAACCAAUUAAUUUAUGGAGUGGAAGAAAUGCAAGGUUUUUUCAAAAGAAGGCUCUGCCUAUGGAAGGGGCGGAUUCCUCUGUGUCUACAUGCGAGUAUUCCAAGGAACUUAUGAUGCGUGAUGAGCGGGAUGCCAAUGUUACUGUACCCGGGCUACAUAGUAAAGGUUGCAGUUCAGACUACUCAAGGCCUAACAUGGUAGAUGGUUGCUAUUUCAAAACGUGAUGAGAAUAGUUUGUGUGGUGUGAUUGUGAUGAUACAAAUCCCUUUAGGUAAUUUGAAAAGAGAUUGAAUUAGGGACCCUUCAAAUGCAUUAUGGCUUGUAUGAAAUCAGUGCGAGGAAGAUUAUAGGCUAACCAAAAGGCAAAUUGUUGAUUAAGCUGACUAGGAUGCAAAUAGAUGUGCUGCAUGUGGAGGAGGAAGGAGGCGACACAGUGGUUUAUGAACAAUCUUGCUCAGUUACUCGGUAACGGCCUCGAUAUCGACACCUACAGAAGGUUGAAUUUUGGUUACUCCAUUAAGUCUCCUGGGAUGGGGUGUCCUACUUGAGGUCAUACAUUGUUUUCCUUUGGAAGGAACUGAUUUCCACUCUGAUUUCAGGCAUGACACAUAAUGUUAGUUGGAAUGGGAAACCUUGGGUUGUGAAUAACCAGAGAAGCUUGGGGCUUGGAAUGGAAAAGCUUGGGUAACUCCUUUUUAAAACACAUGAUGCAAAGGAGUGUGGUGCUACUCUUUCUCUCAUAUACCAACAAAAAGGAUAUCUUUGCCAGGGUGGGUUUUGCUUUAUGUACCUAAGAUCUGGCUUGGAGAGAAGGCAAAAAUUAGAUUAAAUCUUGGCCACAUCAAGUGCUUGAAGAUGAAGAAAUGGACAGGAACAUAGUUUCAAAACGUAAAAGUUUUCAACAGCUUAGAUUUAAUAUUGACCAUAUGUCAAAAAAAGAAAAGAAAAGAAAAGAAGGGGGGAAAGGACUACAUAUUUGUUGAAGAGCAAAUUUGUACUUCUCUAAGGUCUGACUUGAAGGUAGUCAACUUGAUGCUGAAAAUUAAUGAUCCAUAUGUGAAGCUUUUUAGAACUCAGCUUGCUAGGCAAAGGUACUUGCCAGUUGCUUUAAAUUGGGGUCAUUUUAUAGGCACUGGUUAUUUUCAA